rfam:Schistosoma mattheei strain Denwood, Zambia genome assembly, scaffold: SMTD_scaffold0009902
GCACUGCUGAAGAGCCCCACAAUAAGGCGAAGCGGCCGUCCGGUGC